rnacentral:rRNA from 1 species
GGUUGUAAAGCACUUUCAGUCGUGAGGAAGGCGGAGUCGUUAAUAGCGGCGUUGUUUGACGUUAGCGACAGAAGAAGCACCGGCUAACUCCGUGCCAGCAGCCGCGGUAAUACGGAGGGUGCGAGCGUUAAUCGGAAUUACUGGGCGUAAAGCGCAUGCAGGUGGUUUGUUAAGUCAGAUGUGAAAGCCCGGGGCUCAACCUCGGAAUAGCAUUUGAAACUGGCAGACUAGAGUACUGUAGAGGGGGGUAGAAUUUCAGGUGUAGCGGUGAAAUGCGUAGAGAUCUGAAGGAAUACCGGUGGCGAAGGCGGCCCCCUGGACAGAUACUGACACUCAGAUGCGAAAGCGUGGGGAGCAAACAGGAUUAGAUACCCUGGUAGUCCACGCCGUAAACGAUGUCUACUUGGAGGUUGUGGCCUUGA